AGGGCACACGGUGGAUGCCUUGGCAUAGGAAGCCGACGAAGGACGUGGCAAGCUGCGAUAAGCCGCGGUGAGGGGCAAGCACCCUUCGACCCGCGGAUCUCCGAAUGGGGGAACCCUGCUGGGGUCGAGCCCAGCAACCCCGAGCUGAAUCAAAUAGGCUCGGAGGAGGCAACCCGGGGAACUGAAACAUCUAAGUACCCGGAGGAAAGGAAAUCAACCGAGACUGCGCGAGUAGCGGCGAGCGAAAGCGCAAGAGCCUAAACCCGUGCGCGUGUAAGCCUCCAGGCGUUGCCGCACGUGGGGUAGUGGGACCCUCCGUCCCGUCGCUGGAGCGGCGGGGUCGGGUCAGAAACCCUCGGUCCAGGGGAACCGGCUGGGAAGCCGGGCGAAACAGGGUGAGAGCCCCGUACCCGAAGGACCGCGGGCCCGAGAGAGGGAUCCCGAGUAAUGCCGGACACGUGAAACCCGGUAUGAAUCUGGGGGGACCACCCUCCAAGGCUAAGCACUCUCCUAUGACCGAUAGCGAACCAGUACCGUGAGGGAAAGGUGAAAAGCACCCCGAGAGGGGAGUGAAACAGUACCUGAAACCGUGUGCCUACAAGCAGUCGGAGCAGCCAUGCGCUGUGACGGCGUGCCUUUUGUAGAAUGAGCCAGCGAGUUGCGGUUGGCGGCGAGGUUAAGGCGUGAACCGAGCCGCAGUGAAAGCGAGCCUUUAAGAUGGCGAUCAGUCGCCAGCCGCAGACGCGAAGCCGGGUGAUCUAUCCAUGGGCAGGCUGAGGCAGAGGUAAGACUCUGUGGAGGGCCGAACCCACUUCGGUUGAAAACGGAGGGGAUGACCUGUGGAUAGGGGUGAAAGGCCUAUCAAACCCGGAGAUAUCUCGUUCUCCCCGAAAUAGCUUUAGGGCUAGCCUCGAUCGCUUACCGACGGUGGUAGAGCACUGGAUCCGUGCGGGGGCCUCACCGCCUACCAACCGAAACCAAACUCCGAAUGCCGUCGGUCCCGAGAUCGGGAGUCAGAACAUGUGGGCUAAGCCGUGUGUUCGAGAGGGAAACAGCCCAGACCGCCUGCUAAGGUCCCCAAAUCAACGCUGAGUGGCAAAGGAUGUGCGUUUGCCUAGACAACCAGGAUGUUGGCUUAGAAGCAGCCAUGCAUUUAAAGAGUGCGUAACAGCUCACUGGUCAAGUGGACAUGCGCCGACAAUACACGGGGCUAAGCGUUGUACCGAAGCAGCGGACUGUUUUAUCAGUGGUAGGGGAGCUUUCCAUGCCGGGGCGAAGCCGACGGGCGACCGUCGGUGGACUGCAUGGAAGUGAGAAUGCUGGCAUGAGUAACGAGAGAGGGGCGAGAAACCCCUCCGCCGUAAGCCUAAGGGUUCCUGGGCAAGGCUAAUCCCCCCAGGGUCAGUCGGGAGCUAAGGCGAGGCCGACAGGCGUAGCCGAUGCACAACAGGCGGACAUUCCUGUACCACCGCGGAGCGUUACUACGACGGGGUGACGGAGAAGGGUAGCCGGGCGGGGUUCUGGACGUCCCCGUGAAAGCGCGUAGGCCGCAGGGCAGGCAAAUCCGCCCUGCAGCAGGCCGAGACGUUAGACGAAGCUUCAUGUGAAGCCGGCGAGCCCAUGCUUCCGAGAAAAACCUCUAAGGAGCGAGGCGGUGCCCGUACCAAAACCGACACAGGUAGGCGGGUAGAGCAUACCAAGGCGAUCGGGAGAACCAUGGUUAAGGAACUCGGCAUACUGACUCCGUAACUUCGGGAGAAGGAGUGCCCCCGCCUGUGAGGUCCCACGCGGACGGAGCGGGAGGGGGUCGCAGCGAAACGGCCCAAGCGACUGUUUACCAAAAACACAGGACUCUGCAAAGCCGCAAGGCGACGUAUAGGGUCUGACGCCUGCCCGGUGCUGGAAGGUUACGCGGAUGAGUUAGCGCAAGCGAAGCCCUGAAGCCAAGCCCCAGUAAACGGCGGCCGUAACUAUAACGGUCCUAAGGUAGCGAAAUUCCUUGUCGGGUAAGUUCCGACCUGCACGAACGGCGUAACGACUUGGGCGCUGUCUCGACCAUGGACCCGGCGAAACUGCACUGUUCGUGAAGAUGCGAGCUACCUGCGGAAGGACGGAAAGACCCCGUGAACCUUCACUG
rnacentral:rRNA from 1 species